ACUACGAGUUUGAUCCUGGCUCAGAGCGAACGCUGGCGGCAGGCCUAACACAUGCAAGUCGAACGCGAAAGGGCUUCGGCCUGAGUAGAGUGGCGGACGGGUGAGUAAUGCGUGGGGAUCUACCCUGGAGCGGGGGACAACCCGGGGGAAACUCGGGCUAAUACCGCAUACGUCCUACGGGAGAAAGGGGGCCUCUGAAUGUAAGCUCCCACUCCAGGAUGAGCCCACGUCCGAUUAGCUAGUUGGUAGGGUAAAGGCCUACCAAGGCCACGAUCGGUAGCUGGUCUGAGAGGAUGAUCAGCCACACUGGGACUGAGACACGGCCCAGACUCCUACGGGAGGCAGCAGUGGGGAAUAUUGGACAAUGGGCGCAAGCCUGAUCCAGCAAUGCCGCGUGUGUGAAGAAGGCCUGCGGGUUGUAAAGCACUUUCAGUGGGGAAGAACAGGCCUGGGCUAAUACCCCAGGUGUCUGACGUUACCCACAGAAGAAGCACCGGCUAACUCCGUG
rnacentral:rRNA from 1 species